rnacentral:misc_RNA from 1 species
CAGAAGAUGUUAUUUUCAAAGAGGUCAGUGACCUUGCUUUUCUAUCCAUUUCAUUUCUUCUUCUGCUGCUGCUUAUGAACCUUUGAUUUGAUAGAAAGCUAUUUCAAUAUGGUUAUGGUGCUUUCUCCUUUAAAAAAUUAUGGUACUUCUCUAUAAUCUCUUUCUCUAGGCCUAGAUUGCCAAGUUCAUAUUGUUCCACGGAUGUGAGUUUCGUAUUAUGUGGCUUAUGACAUCUUGAGAGUAUUUAGUUGCAAAAUGCAAGAUUUCGUUAGUAAUCAUGGCCUCUGCUUUAUCUGGAAUUCUGGAUUUGUUGGGCAUUUGAUUAGUACUGUAAUUAUGUUGAUUAAUGAGUAGCUAAAUUCUUAUAUGCGCAGGCAUGGCUAACAUACUUCUGG